CCUACGGGAGGCAGCAGUGGGGAAUAUUGGACAAUGGGGGGAACCCUGAUCCAGCGACGCCGCGUGAGUGAAGAAGUAUUUCGGUAUGUAAAGCUCUAUCAGCAGGGAAGAAAGAAAUGACGGUACCUGACUAAGAAGCCCCGGCUAACUACGUGCCAGCAGCCGCGGUAAUACGUAGGGGGCAAGCGUUAUCCGGAUUUACUGGGUGUAAAGGGAGCGCAGGCGGUAUGGCAAGUCAGAUGUGAAAACCCAGGGCCCAACCCUGGGACUGCAUUUGAAACUGCCAUACUGGAGUGCCGGAGAGGUAAGUGGAAUUCCUAGUGUAGCGGUGAAAUGCGUAGAUAUUAGGAGGAACACCAGUGGCGAAGGCGGCUUACUGGACUGUAACUGACGUUGAGGCUCGAAAGCGUGGGGAGCAAACAGGAUUAGAUACCCGAGUAGUC
rnacentral:rRNA from 1 species